rnacentral:rRNA from 1 species
GUGCUUUCUGUGAAGCCGGGCUGUAAGGCAUCCGGUGGAGAGAUCACUAGUGAGAAUGAUGACAUGAGUAGCGACAAAGAGUGUGAGAGACACUCUCGCCGAAAGUCCAAGGGUUCCUGCUUAAAGCUAAUCUGAGCAGGGUAAGCCGGCCCCUAAGUCGAGGCAGAAAUGCGUAGACGAUGGGAACUAGGUUAAUAUUCCUAGGCCAGGAGGAUGUGACGGAUCAUGAAGGUUGUUCACCCUUAUUGGAUUGGGUGGGCCGCUAAUUGGUUCCUGGAAAUAGCCCUCCAUUAGACCGUACCCUAAACCGACACAGGUGGACUGGUAGAGAAUACCAAGGCGCUUGAGAGAACUAUGUUGAAGGAACUCGGCAAAAUACCUCCGUAAGUUCGCGAGAAGGAGGCCCGGUUCCUAGGCAACUAGGGGCUGGGGGCACAAACCAGGGGGUGGCGACUGUUUACUAAAAACACAGGGCUCUGCGAAGUCGCAAGACGACGUAUAGGGUCUGACGCCUGCCCGGUGCCUGAAGGUUAAAAGGAGGGGUGAGAGCUCUGAAUUGAAGCCCAGGUAAACGGCGGCCGUAACUAUAACGGUCCUAAGGUAGCGAAAUUCCUUGUCGGGUAAGUUCCGACCUGCACGAAUGGCGUAACGACUUCCCCGCUGUCUCCAACAUAGACUCAGCGAAAUUGAAUUGCCUGUCAAGAUGCAGGCUUCCCGCGGUUAGACGGAAAGACCCCGUGCACCUUUACUACAGCUUCGCACUGGCAUCAGGCACAACAUGUGCAGGAUAGGUGGUGGGCUUUGAAGCAGAAACGCCAGUUUCUGUGGAGCCUCCCUUGAGAUACCACCCUUGUUCUGCUUGAUGUCUAACCGCGGUCCGUUAUCCGGAUCCGGGACCCUGCGUGGCGGGUAGUUUGACUGGGGCGGUCGCCUCCCAAAGAGUAACGGAGGCGCGCGAAGGUUGGCUCAGAGCGGUCGGAAAUCGCUCGUUGAGUGCAAUGGCAGAAGCCAGCCUGACUGCGAGACUGACAAGUCGAGCAGAGACGAAAGUCGGCCAUAGUGAUCCGGUGGUCCCGAGUGGAAGGGCCAUCGCUCAACGGAUAAAAGGUACGCCGGGGAUAACAGGCUGAUACUGCCCAAGAGUCCAUAUCGACGGCAGUGUUUGGCACCUCGAUGUCGGCUCAUCUCAUCCUGGGGCUGGAGCAGGUCCCAAGGGUAUGGCUGUUCGCCAUUUAAAGAGGUACGUGAGCUGGGUUUAGAACGUCGUGAGACAGUUCGGUCCCUAUCUGCCGUGGGUGUAGGAUACUUGAGAGGAGUUGCCCCUAGUACGAGAGGACCGGGGUGAACGAUCCACUGGUGGACCUGUUGUUGCGCCAGCAGCAGUGCAGGGUAGCUAUGAUCGGACAGGAUAACCGCUGAAGGCAUCUAAGCGGGAAGCCCCCCUCAAAACAAGGUAUCCCUGAGGGCCGUGGAAGACCACCACGUCGAUAGGCCGGAGAUGUAAGCAUGGUAACAUGUUCAGUUGACCGGUACUAAUGGCCCGAUAGGCUUGAUU